AUGUCUGGAAUACUUAAUACAUGGUUGAUCUUACAGAAUAUUAUGAAUAGAGAUCUUGCCAAAAGAUGUAUUACUUACACCAUCCGUCUCACCAUUAGGCCUCACUCUUUGAAUUCCCCCCAAUAUGGAAAUUGGAAUGAAAUGCAAACAAAAUUGAGAGAGAGAGAAGUAAUAGGGAGAAGAAAUAUCUAUCGGAGUCUCUCCGAUGGAGCUUCAAAAAUAGUUGGAACAGGGCAGCAGGCUAUAUAG